rnacentral:rRNA from 1 species
GAACGCUGGCGGCGUGCCUAAUACAUGCAAGUCGAGCGAACGGACGAGAAGCUUGCUUCUCUGAUGUUAGCGGCGGACGGGUGAGUAACACGUGGAUAACCUACCUAUAAGACUGGGAUAACUUCGGGAAACCGGAGCUAGUACCGGAUAAUAUUUUGAACCGCAUGGUUCAAAAGUGAAAGACGGUCUUGCUGUCACUUAUAGAUGGAUCCGCGCUGCAUUAGCUAGUUGGUAAGGUAACGGCUUACCAAGGCAACGAUGCAUAGCCGACCUGAGAGGGUGAUCGGCCACACUGGAACUGAGACACGGUCCAGACUCCUACGGGAGGCAGCAGUAGGGAAUCUUCCGCAAUGGGCGAAAGCCUGACGGAGCAACGCCGCGUGAGUGAUGAAGGUCUUCGGAUCGUAAAACUCUGUUAUUAGGGAAGAACAUAUGUGUAAGUAACUGUGCACAUCUUGACGGUACCUAAUCAGAAAGCCACGACUAACUACGUG